rnacentral:rRNA from 1 species
AGAGUUUGAUCCUGGCUCAGGAUGAACGCUAGCGGCAGGCUUAAUACAUGCAAGGCGAGGGGGCAGCAAUGUCACCGUCGUACGGGUGCGUAACGCGUAUGCAACCUACCUUCAACUGGGGGAUAGCCCGGGGAAACCCGGAUUAAUACCGCAUAACACAUUUGUAUAGCAUUAUACGAUUUGUUAAAGAUUUAUUGGUUGAAGAUGGGCAUGCGUUCGAUUAGCUAGUUGGCAGGGUAACGGCCUACCAAGGCAACGAUCGAUAGGGGAGCUGAGAGGUUGAUCCCCCACACGGGCACUGAGAUACGGGCCCGACUCCUACGGGAGGCAGCAGUAGGGAAUAUUGGGCAAUGGAUGCAAGUCUGACCCAGCCAUGCCGCGUGCCGGAUGAAGGCCCUCAGGGUUGUAAACGGCUUUUAUUCGGGAAGAAGAGCAGGGAUGCGUCCCUGUGUGACGGUACCGAAUGAAUAAGCACCGGCUAACUCCGUGCCAGCAGCCGCGGUAAUACGGAGGGUGCGAGCGUUGUCCGGAUUUAUUGGGUUUAAAGGGUGCGUAGGUGGCUUUUUAAGUCAGUGGUGAAAUACAGCCGCUCAACGGUUGAGGUGCCAUUGAUACUGAAGAGCUUGAAACAAGUGGAGGCUGCCGGAAUGGAUGGUGUAGCGGUGAAAUGCAUAGAUAUCAUCCAGAACACCGAUUGCGAAGGCAGGUGGCUACGUUUGAUUUGACACUGAGGCACGAAAGCAUGGGGAGCAAACAGGAUUAGAUACCCUGGUAGUCCACGCCCUAAACGAUGUCAA